rnacentral:rRNA from 1 species
CCUGGUUGAUCUUGCCAGUAGUCAUAUGCUUGUCUCACAGAUUAAGCCAUGCAAGUGAAAGUACAUAUGUAAAUAAUAUAUUGAAACUGCGAACGGCUCAUUAAAACAGUUAUAAUCUACUUGAUGUUUUUAAUAUAAGGAUAACUACGGAAAAUCUGUAGCUAAUACUUGUGAAAAUACCUUUUGAUAUAUACAUAUGUAUGUAUCAUUAAGGUAUGUAUUUGUUAGAUAUAAGAAUAAAAUAAAUAUAAUUGAAUUAUAACAAAGAAGAAACACAUAAAAUAUGUGUAUUAUCAAUCGAGUAUCUGACCUAUCAGCUUUUGAUGUUAGGGUAUUGACCUAACAUGGCUAUGACGGGUAACGGGGAAUUAGAGUUCGAUUCCGGAGAGGGAGCCUGAGAAAUAGCUACCACAUCUAAGGAAGGCAGCAGGCGCGUAAAUUACCCAAUUCUAAAAAAGAGAGGUAGUGACAAGAAAUAACAAUACAAUAUCGAAAAAUGAUUUUGUAAUUGGAAUGAUAGGAAUUUACAAGGUUCCUAGAGAAACAAUUGGAGGGCAAGUCUGGUGCCAGCAGCCGCGGUAAUUCCAGCUCCAAUAGCAUAUAUUAAAAUUGUUGCAGUUAAAACGUUCGUAGUUGAAUAUUAAAGAAUCCGAUGUUUCAUUUAAACUGGUUUGGGAAAACCAAAUAUAUUAUAUAUUUUGCUUUGUUCAAAAUAAGGUUUUCUAAUAAAUUAUGUUUUUAUCAGAUAUGACAGAAUCUUUUUUAAAAUCUCUUCAAUAUGCUUUUAUUGCUUUUGAGAGGUUUUGUUACUUUGAGUAAAAUUAAGUGUUCAUAACAGACGGGUAGUCAUGAUUGAGUUCAUUGUGUUUGAAUACUACAGCAUGGAAUAACAAAUAUGAAUAAGCUAAUUAUUUUUUUUUUUCAUAAUUUUUUUUGAUAUUCUUAUUAGCUUAGUUACGAUUAAUAGGAGUAGCUUUGGGGGCAUUCGUAUUCAGAUGUCAGAGGUGAAAUUCUAAGAUUUUCUGGAGACGGACUACUGCGAAAGCAUUUGCCUAAUCUAUUUCCAUUAAUCAAGAACGAAAGUUAAGGGAGUGAAGACGAUCAGAUACCGUCGUAAUCUUAACCAUAAACUAUACCGACUAGGUGUUGGAUGAAUAUAAAAAAUAUAUAAAUAUGUAGCAUUUCUUAGGGAAUGUUGAUUUUAUAUUAGAAUUGCUUCCUUCAGUACCUUAUGAGAAAUCAAAGUCUUUGGGUUCUGGGGCGAGUAUUCGCGCAAGCGAGAAAGUUAAAAGAAUUGACGGAAGGGCACCACCAGGCGUGGAGCUUGCGGCUUAAUUUGACUCAACACGGGAAAACUCACUAGUUUAAGACAAGAGUAGGAUUGACAGAUUAAUAGCUCUUUCUUGAUUUCUUGGAUGGUGAUGCAUGGCCGUUUUUAGUUCGUGAAUAUGAUUUGUCUGGUUAAUUCCGAUAACGAACGAGAUCUUAACCUGCUAAUUAGCGGCAAGUACACUAUAUUCUUAUUUGAAAUUGAACAACGAGAUCUUAACCUGCUAAUUAGCGGUAAGUACACUAUAUUUUUAUUUGAAAUUGAAUAUAGGUAAUUAUACAUGUUUAUUCAGUGUUCAAAUUAGGAUAUUUUUUUAUUAAAAUAUUCUUUUCCCUGUUCUACUAAUAAUUUGUUUUUUUUUACUCUAUUUCUCUCUUCUUUUAAGAAUGUACUUGCUUGAUUAAAUAAAGCUUCUUAGAGGAACAGUGUGUAUCUAACACAAGGAAGUUUAAGGCAACAACAGGUCUGUGAUGUCCUUAGAUAAACUAGGCUGCACGCGUGCUACAAUGAUAUAUAUAACAAGUUGUUAAAAAUAUACUUAUAUUUGUAUCUUUGAUGCUUAUAUUUUGCAUACUUUUCCUCCGCCGAAAGGUGUAGGUAAUCUUUAUCAAUAUAUAUCGUGAUGGGGAUAGAUUAUUGCAAUUAUUAAUCUUGAACGAGGAAUGCCUAGUAAGCAUGAUUCAUCAGAUUGUGCUGACUACGUCCCUGCCCUUUGUACACACCGCCCGUCGCUCCUACCGAUUGAAAGAUAUGAUGAAUUGUUUGGACAAGAAAAAUUGAAUUAUAUUCUUUUUUUUCUGGAAAAACCGUAAAUCCUAUCUUUUAAAGGAAGGAGAAGUCGUAACAAGGUUUCCGUAGGUGAACCUGCGGAAG